UAGGGAAUCUUCGGCAAUGGACGAAAGUCUGACCGAGCAACGCCGCGUGAGUGAAGAAGGUUUUCGGAUCGUAAAACUCUGUUGUUAGAGAAGAACAAGGACGUUAGUAACUGAACGUCCCCUGACGGUAUCUAACCAGAAAGCCACGGCUAACUACGUGCCAGCAGCCGCGGUAAUACGUAGGUGGCAAGCGUUGUCCGGAUUUAUUGGGCGUAAAGCGAGCGCAGGCGGUUUCUUAAGUCUGAUGUGAAAGCCCCCGGCUCAACCGGGGAGGGUCAUUGGAAACUGGGAGACUUGAGUGCAGAAGAGGAGAGUGGAAUUCCAUGUGUAGCGGUGAAAUGCGUAGAUAUAUGGAGGAACACCAGGGGCGAAGGCGGCUCUCUGGUCUGUAACUGACGCUGAGGCUAGAAAGCGUGGGGAGCAAACAGG
rnacentral:rRNA from 1 species